rnacentral:rRNA from 1 species
AUUGAACGCUGGCGGCAGGCCUAACACAUGCAAGUCGAGCGGAUGACGGGAGCUUGCUCCUUGAUUCAGCGGCGGACGGGUGAGUAAUGCCUAGGAAUCUGCCUGGUAGUGGGGGACAACGUUUCGAAAGGAACGCUAAUACCGCAUACGUCCUACGGGAGAAAGCAGGGGACCUUCGGGCCUUGCGCUAUCAGAUGAGCCUAGGUCGGAUUAGCUUGUUGGUGAGGUAAUGGCUCACCAAGGCGACGAUCCGUAACUGGUCUGAGAGGAUGAUCAGUCACACUGGAACUGAGACACGGUCCAGACUCCUACGGGAGGCAGCAGUGGGGAAUAUUGGACAAUGGGCGAAAGCCUGAUCCAGCCAUGCCGCGUGUGAAGAAGGUCUUCGGAUUGUAAAGCACUUUAAGUUGGGAGGAAGGGUUGUAGAUUAAUACUCUGCAAUUUUGACGUUACCGACAGAAUAAGCACCGGCUAACUCUGUG